rnacentral:tRNA from 2 species
GCGGGCGUAGCUCAAUUGGAUAGAGCAUCUGACUACGGAUCAGAAGGUUAGGGGUUCGAGUCCCUUCGCCCGUG